rnacentral:misc_RNA from 1 species
AACGCACCUUGCGCCCUUUGGCUAUUCCGAAGGGCAUGCCUGUUUGAGUAUCAUGAACACCUCAACUCUCAUGGUCUGCCAUGAUGAGCUUGGACUUUGGGGGUCUUGCUGGCGUAACCGCCGGCUCCUCUCAAACGAAUCAGCUUGCCAGUGUUUGGUGGCGUCACAGGUGUGAUAACUAUCUACGCUUGUGGUCUUCCAUCAGGUUACCUUCAGUAAUGGAGGUUCGCUGGAGCUCACAGACGUCUCUCCUCUGGGAGGACAGCUUUUUAAAAGUUUGAUCUCAAAUCAGGUAGGACUACCCGCUGAACUUAA